GACGAACGCUGGCGGCGUGCCUAACACAUGCAAGUCGAACGGUAACAGGUCUUCGGAUGCUGACGAGUGGCGAACGGGUGAGUAAUACAUCGGAACGUGCCCGAUCGUGGGGGAUAACGCAGCGAAAGCUGUGCUAAUACCGCAUACGAUCUACGGAUGAAAGCGGGGGAUCGCAAGACCUCGCGCGGACGGAGCGGCCGAUGGCAGAUUAGGUAGUUGGUGGGAUAAAAGCUUACCAAGCCGACGAUCUGUAGCUGGUCUGAGAGGACGACCAGCCACACUGGGACUGAGACACGGCCCAGACUCCUACGGGAGGCAGCAGUGGGGAAUUUUGGACAAUGGGCGCAAGCCUGAUCCAGCCAUGCCGCGUGCAGGAUGAAGGCCUUCGGGUUGUAAACUGCUUUUGUACGGAACGAAAAGCUCUCUCUAAUACAGGGGUGAAUGACGGUACCGUAAGAAUAAGCACCGGCUAACUACGUGCCAGCAGCCGAC
rnacentral:rRNA from 1 species